GCACUAGUAGCUCAGACUCAGAGCGCCGGUCUUGUAAACCGGAUGACGGAGGUUAAAUUCCCCCCUAGUGCU
rnacentral:tRNA from 1 species